GUAAAAAGAAACAGCGAUGUUGUAGCGGUUUAUCGACACCACUGCAUUUUUGGGCAUGCAACAAUUGGCUUUUAGAGGACACGAUGAGAGGGAAAGUUCCGCUAACAAGGGCAACUACAAUGAGAUUGCGGAGCAACUGGGUUCUACAGUUUGACCCCACUGCUGUCCCUGGCUCCACACACAUCCUGCCCGGCCAUCUAGAUGUUUGAAGGUAGGUGUCUUUUCUGUAGGGAAGCUAAUGAUCCAUCAUGUAUGACAUUCCUGGGAGCUUGUAAACAUAAAUGUUUUUAUUACCAUAUCAUUUUUGUAUGUUCUCUAUAGUUAUGUACUUGAACAUUUUUAAUUUGACCAAUUCAGAACAUUUGGGCAAACUCCUGGCAGAUGUAAUUCUUCACUGGAUCAGUCUGAACCUUUGCACACAUACUGCUGCCAUCUUGUGGACAACAUCUAAAUUCACACCCAUAAUCCUAUAUCAAUGGAUGGCCUUUCUCUUGCAUUUCCAAAUGAUUGUAUUAUCUUUUUCCAGAUCUAAUGUGUUAUAUUUUCCUACAUUAAUUUCAAAUUUCCACAGACUUCCAUAAACUUCAAAGUGUUUCCUUUCAAAUGGUAUCAAGAAUAUGCAUAUCCUUGGUUCAGGUUCUGGAGAUACAGGCAGUUAGAUUUGGGUAUGUCAUUUAGGCAGAAAUUGGAAAAAAGGGUCUGAUCCUUAUUAAGAGAUGAUGACCACUCAGCUACUGUUGUCAUCUCUCUCCGGACAUGAACUGAAGCCACAUUUCAUUUGCCCGGUCAUUCACUAGCAAAUUGAAUGUUUCCUGUCCAAGCACUGUGAGUACACUUAUACAUUUUCUCUCAUUACUGUAUGUAGAGUCAAUCACACAUACAAACAUAAUCAUAUUAUUACACAUCAAUGAUUUUAAUCCUUGCCUGAACUAACUCAUUUUUAGCUCUUUUGUCUAACUGUGUUGUGUUAUUGUUUUUUGUCCUCCCAGUUAAAUCCUGUCCUGCCCUCAGUGGAAGAGUUGAGCUCUCUCCAAACACCAUCCAUCCAUCCAUGAUGAGCCUGUCCUGCACUAAAGUCUAUGAACACCUCAACCCCCGUCCUUCACUGAAGUCGAACCUCUGAACACCUCAACUCAUGCCUCAUACCCUCAUUCAAUCACUGCUGUGAUCCCUUCCCAACACUGCCGGUGGUAGCUGGUCCCCUACAGGACGGUGAGGUGCUGGAGGUCCCUCCUCCCCUCUGGACAUCGAGGGGUCCCCGGCGUAUACGAUACGG
ensembl:lncRNA